rnacentral:lncRNA from 1 species
UACACAUUAUUAAAAAUAGAAAUAAAAUAGAAGUUUUAGAAAGAUUUAACCGAGAGAGAGAGAAGGCUUGCAGCUUCUGUCCACCUGACGUUGUCUCUGUCCUCCUCCCAUCCGCGCUACUCUCUUCUAACCUCUCUGACCUCCCUCUAUUUUCUUUCUAUUUUCUGUCCCUCACGCUGCCCAAAGGCAGCUUUCCGCUCUCCAAUUCCUGUUCCGUGUGCUUUUCUUCACACGCUGCCAAGGCAGCCCUCUCUCCUUUGCUCUCUCCACUCUCACGCUGCCCAAAAGGGCAGCUCCCUGUGCUCCCUUCUGCUUUCCGUCUCUCCCUGACCCCCAGCUGCCAAAGCAGCUUUUCUUUCCCCUUUUUUUCUUUCUAUUUUCUGUUGGUCUCUUUUAUUCCCUCCGCGUGGACUCCUCUUUUUUUCUUUUUUUUCUUUUUUUUCUCUGGCCAGCUGCAAAGGCAGCCCUUUUCCAUCCCCUUUCACGUGCUCUCCUCUCCCUCUAUUCACGCCUACUACUCUCUGCCUUGCUGCAAGAGGCAGCUUCCUAUUCUUUAUUUUUUAUUUUUUUCCACCUUAUUUCUCUGCAGGUUCUCUCCUCUCCCUUGGAUUCUUUUUCCGUCCGUUCCUUUCUUUUCUUCUACAAAACAAAACAAAACCAUCAUGAUGAUGUUUCAAACAUCAUCACGACUUAUCAUUAUUAAAUAUAAUUUUUUAAUUUAAUUUAAAAGCUGAUCUACACAGACAGUUUUGACGAAUUUAUUACAUAAAAUUUCACUUGUUCUAUUUUUAUUUUCUUUGCAUAACAAAUCCUAUAAACACAAAAAUAACGUAAAUAGCUCAAAAAUAUAAGGAACUAACUAAGAAAAGACGAGUGAAUUCGAAGUAAAAAUAUAUAUAAAUAUGAUCCGAUCAAAUACCCCCACACUUAACUUUUGCUAGUCCUCGAGCAAAACAAAGAAAUUAUGAAAAAGUAAUAACAUGAAAAACAUUAGCUUCCCUCUAUGUGACCCUCAUAGAAUUUCAUUCAAGAAAACAAAUCAUCAAGAACCAUAGCUAGCAUCAAGGAACUAAUCCAAGUUCAUCUUCCUUAUUCAAAUAUUAGCAGUAAUCUUUAAAUCAUCCUUGAAGUGUAGUGUGUGAGAUAGCCAUGCUAAUGCAAUUUCAAGUUUUUAUUUUUAAAAUCAUCAUAUGCAAACUAGCGACCUUCUCACGGGAUAUGCACUCAAUCACACAUGUGUUUAGUUUUAAUGUGUUUCGCUCAAAGAAACAAAUGUAAAAUUUCUACCAUAAGCUUGCAUAAAGAUCACUUCUCCACAGUCAUAAUUGCAAAACUUAAAUCAAGAGGACUUUUAUUGGAUGUAAUGAGGCUUAGGGAUAGGGUUAUUGAAAUGAAAGAAUAGGAAAACACAAGUUCCAAGCUACAUUGCAAGCAAUUCUUUUCUUUAGAUUUAUAAGAACUCAAGCUCUCCAGCAAUUCUUCUAGCACCUCCAACCAUACUCUUAAACUGAAACUUUAAAAACUUUUUAUUUUCUUUGUAUACAAUCUUUCUUUCUUUUUUUUUUUUUUUUUUUUUUUUUUUUUUUUUUUUUUUUUUAAAUACAAACAUGAAAUACCCCCACACUUAUUCUUUUGCCAAACACCUUUAAAGUACUUCACAAACAUUUCUCAUAAGACAAUCUCGCAUUGCUCGCUUGGAAAGGGUAAGGAAAAAUAUUUCAGGUAUAAGGGUAGACAUAUCUGGUGAUAAGAAAUAAAAGGCUCAACAAACACGGCUCAAAUUGGCAAUCUAAUGAUAUCAUUUUUUCUGUUGGGAAACAUGGUUAUUUGGGCCAUGGUGGUAAACUUAAUGCCUCCAUCAUUUCCAAGUUCAUGCAAUCAAUGACAAACAUUUCGAAAGAUCGUUACGCAAGUUCUAGAGAUGUAUCUCACAUAAGUUCAUCACACAUGAAAGAAUAGGAGUGUAUGAAAAAUGCACACACUUUCAAUAGGCUCAAAAACUCACAUAGGAUGUAUAUGGUCACUAAAUUCACAUAUGAAGCUUUAAGUCAUACUUUAGUUUCACAUUAACAAGGUUAUGUGCAUUUGGUUUUUCAAAGAUGAUCAAACAUGUACAAAACUAACAAGAGAAUUAGGAAUUUCACAAAACACAUGAUAACUAAGUUCUUGAUAAUCAUGAUUCAAAUUCGAUCUAAUUAUAUCAUUGGGUCGGGAAACUAACAAAAAAUCUAAUUCAAAACAAUAAGGGAAACAAGACAAUAUUUUUGGAUUUUUUAAAUUUUCCGAUUUUUUUUUUUAUAGAGAAAACAAAACUAAAAAAAAAUAAAAAAUAAAAAGCAACAACACAGAAACAAAUGAAAUUCUAGAGAUUUCUACCCCCACACUUAAACUUGACAUUGUCCCCAAUGUCAGAAAACACUAUAAUGCAAAAAUAAAUAAAAUAAACAAAAUAAUAAAAAAAACAAAAUAAAGCAAUUGGACUGAAAACUUCCCUAAUUUGCAGUAAAAUCAAGCGAUGACCCUCAAGCUAAAAUUCUGCAAUCAACUUCAAGGGUGGAAAUAACCAAAAGUUCCUGCAAAGAAAAGGAAAAAUUCAGUUAAGUACGCAAGAAAAUUAAUUAAAAAAAAUUGCAAACGAAAAAUUGAAAAUUACGAUAAAAGAUAAUGAAUAAAACUAAUAAGUAAUCAUUGGUCGUGCUUGUUGACUUUCCACAGCUUUCCUCUUGAACAGGGUGACACUUAGCUUUUUCACUUGCAAGUGAUGAUUUUAUGAUAUUGUACGGCGAAGCUUUGCUCUUUGGUUAUGUUGCAGUUCCUUAUUUGUUCUCCAAGCAGAUGUGGCAGCUUCUCUAGUUCCUCAGUUCGGACUCCUUCCGCUGGGAUGAUUGUGCAAGCUGCAUUCUUCUCUGCUUGUUUCUUCUGCACAACGGGCAGGCACGAGGGAAAGGUGUUGGUCCUUAUUUCUUUCUUCAAUCUUUCCAAGUGCCCACCUCUUGCUUUCUUUCUCCUUGUCCCUAGCUGAAUUGUCUCCACAUGCUUCGAGGUAUCAUUUUCACUUCCCUUACUGUCCCCCAGGCAGAUGUGGUAGACGAAGAGAAAGCAUAAAAUGAUGAAGAUGAGUACUCGAGAGCAAGGCUAGGUAAGCAAUCAGGAAGGGGUUCCAGGCAGUUGGCUCCAGAUUGGAAGAUUGAUACCAAAUGCUGGCUGAUUGCUCUCUUUCUCCUUGUCGGAAAACAAAGACAAGGAGAAGGACAUGGAGAAAGCAUGAUAUGAGAUACUCUUGCUUUCAACCUUUAUGAUAUGAAAUACUUUUGCUUUGAAUGGGUUGUUCGCAGGAGUAUCCCAAGGAAUGAGGAACACAGAGUGACUCGAGAGGAUUCUUUGGGAAUGCAUUUUCGGAGAUGAAGAGGUGUUGAGAGGGUGUGCUGAGAGAGUGUGCUUUUGCUGUGGAAGGCGAAGGUAGAAACUUAUAGGACUUGUCUUCACAACCGGAACUGUUCUCUCACUUAGUGUCGGCAGCCGGUGGAUGGGUGAAGAAUACAAAUUACGCGCUUUCUGACAAAGCUGCCCGUAAUUUCCGCAAAGCUGAUUCCUCAUUGAUAUCUGUAAUCGGCGCUUCGAGCUCUGAGCAUCGUCGAUUGUAGAGGUAGCAUGUGACACGUGCGGAUAAAUCUGGAAAAGAAGAUUUUUCCCGUGGGUUGAAGCCCAGCUUUUGAGAAAGCUAGCGUGUCUUUGACUGUUGAAUUUCCCUCUUCGAUUUCUGAAUUGGUGCUUCGACAAAUUGCCCGAGAUUUCCGCAAAGCAAUUUGCGUUUGACAAGUGACGACACGUCUGGACAAAUUGAUCUUUUGAAAUCCGGGGUUCGGCUCGUGGUUUCUGAGCAAGCCCAGCCUUUAAGAAAUGAAACGCCUCUUUUGAGAAAAGAAUCCGGCUUUUGAGAAAGGAAACUCCUCUUUUGAGAAAAGAAUCAGACGUUUGAGAACGGAGCCCUGACUCUUCGAUUUGCGAGAGGACGCUUCUCUGAGGAGCGCCUCUUUGAUUUCUUCCUUUUUAUAGAGACGUUAAGCUUGUUCCACAACACACUUGAGUACCCUCCUGUAAACACUCCCUUCUUGCACUUGUUUAAUCUUGAUCAUUCCGACUCUCUUCUUUCUUUACCACCUCUGAAAAAUGUCUGGCCCUUCUGAUCGUCGUUUUGACUUGAACAUUGGUGAAGAGGCAGCUCCUCCUUCACCAGACAACAUAUGGCGGCCAUCCUUCAUAUCCCCUACCGGUCCCCUUACCGUGGGGGAUUCGAUGAUGAAAAAUGACAUGACCGCUGCGGUGGUGGCCCGAAACCUUGUCACUCCCAGAGAUAACAGACUGCUCGCAAGGCGGUCUGAUGAAUUGGCGGUCAAGGAGUCUCUGGCUCUCAGUGUGCAGUGUGCGGGUUCCGUAUCCAACAUGGCCCAACGCCUAUAUGCCCGAACCCGUCACGUUGAAUCCUUGGUGGCUGAAAUACAGAGUCUCAAGUAAGAGAUUAAAGGGCUCAAGCAUGAGAAUAAGGAAUUGCACAAGCUCGCACACAGCUAUGCCACCAGCAUGAAGAGGAAGAUUGACCAGAUGCAGGACACCGAUGGUCAAAUUUUACUUGAUCAUCGGAGGUUUGUGGGUUUGUUCCAACCGCAUCUGCCUUCGUCUUCAGGGGCGGCACCGCGUAGUGAAGCUCCAACUGAUCAACCUCUGCCGCCUCCUCUUUCUGUGGCCCCGCCGACUGCUGAAGCCCCGCCUACUACUGAAGCACCACCCGACCAAUGAAUACUAUUAGUUUACAUCAUUGUAAAAUAUUUGUACUUUUUUUUUUUUUCUUUUUUUUUUUUUAUUUAUUUAUUUUUUUUUAUGUAAUUUUUUUUUAUUUAUCAUUAAUUUUAAAUUUUAUCUUUUUUUUUUUUUUUUAUUUUUUAUAUCUUUUUUUUUUAUUUUUUUUUUUAUUUUUUUUUUAUGUAAAUUAAAGUAGAAAGACUUUGGUUAACCUUCCCCCACACUUAAACUAAAUAAUACAAACUCACAGAAAUCAAACAAAUAACACAACUAACUAAACAAAACAAAAUGAAAGCAGUAAAGAUAAGGGUGUAAAAUUGCAAAUCUGAUUGGGUUAGCGAUUCCAAAGUCUCCCUUCGUUGAAUGCUUGGGUUGCCUCCCAAGAAGCGCUUGAUUUAACGUCUUUAGCCGGACGCAUCUUUCCUUUAAAUUUCCCUCAGCUCCAUUUGUGCCUAAAAUCAAAGAAAGAAAAAUAAAUCAAAUAUCAAAAGUAAAAUACACAAACACCAAUAUAAACAUAAACAAAAACAAAAAUAAAAGGAUUAGCAAAGUUACUAAUCCCCGGCAACGGCGCCAAAAUUUGAUGCGUAAAAUAAGUUCACACACAAAAUUAAACCCUCUUUUUGUCAAUUGUAGUAUAAGUAUAAGUAGGGUAUCGUUCUAGGCCGGGGAUUAGGAGGGCUUGCUAAAACCUCUUAAAAACAUAAAAAACAAAGUAAAAAAUAUUAAACAAGACUCAAGGACACAAAACUAGGCUAAAAACUCUAAUAAUUCGAAACACACUUAAAAUGACUCAAAAUAAUAAAAACAAUCAAAAUAGACACUAGGAAUUGAAAUGGACGGAAAUUGAAUUAAAAGACUAACAACAAUGAAAACUAACUAAAUAAUAUAAUUUAAUAAUGGGGGGUUUGGUUUUGAUGAGAAGUAAAUUAAACUUAAAUAAAUUACAGAAUUGACAAAAAACAUGAAAUUAAGGUGAAAGGAUAGGUGAUGGAUUAGCUAGAGGGUUCUUCUCCACACAUGACACAUAUGCAACCUAAAUUGAUUUUCAGUUGUUCUUUCAAUAAGUUGUGAAUCUCAACACUUCAGAUUAACCGUGAACAUCACUUUUUUAAUCUUCAAGUUUUCCUUAAGUUAUUGAAUUGGACGGGAAAACGCAUACAACAAUUCAAAACAUUCUUCAAAAGUCCCCUACGUGAAAAGCACAAUAGAGAUACAAUCAAAGAUCAUUAAACUUUGUGAAAACUAUAAGCAUUGACGAGGCAUUCGUAACUAUGAAAAGCAUGAUACUCUUGCCAAGAAUUUACUUAACACGAUUGUAGAUAACAACCUUCACUACUUGUGAAUAUAAGUUCAUAACGAUUAGGUGAAAUUCAUUUAUAUUCUAGCAUCAAAUUCAUGCAUGUAAAUUAAGUAUGCAUCCUUAAUCGACAUACAAAAAUAAGUUAUCAAUCAAGCAGUUAAGCAAAUUAAAUCACAACUUAGAAAUCACAACUGAAGGUAAUCAAUUCAUAUUACAAAUAUAUCAUGGCUUUGAAUUAACCUCUAGCCAAAAUCAAUUUAUUUACACAUUAUUAAAAAUAGAAAUAAAAUAGAAGUUUUAGAAAGAUUUAACCGAGAGAGAGAAGGCUUGCAGCUUCUGUCCACCUGACGUUGUCUCUGUCCUCCUCCCAUCCGCGCUACUCUCUUCUAACCUCUCUGACCUCCCUCUAUUUUCUUUCUAUUUUCUGUCCCUCACGCUGCCCAAAGGCAGCUUUCUGCUCUCCAAUUCCUGUUCCGUGUGCUUUUCUUCACACGCUGCCAAGGCAGCCCUCUCUCCUUUGCUCUCUCCACUCUCACGCUGCCCAAAAGGGCAGCUCCCUGUGCUCCCUUCUGCUUUCCGUCUCUCCCUGACCCCCCA